rnacentral:rRNA from 1 species
UACGGAGGGUGCGAGCGUUGUUCGGAAUCACUGGGCGUAAAGCGCGUGUAGGCGGCCCACUAAGUCUGAUGUGAAAGCCCGGGGCUCACCCCCGGAAGUGCAUUGGAAACUGGUGGACUCGAGUCCCGGAGAGGAGAGUGGAAUUCCUGGUGUAGCGGUGAAAUGCGUAGAUAUCAGGAGGAACACCGGUGGCGAAGGCGGCUCUCUGGACGGUGACUGACGCUGAGGCGCGAAAGCGUGGGGAGCGAACAGG